GUGGAAUUAUACCCACCUUCUGCUGUGGGAGAUGCAGACCAGACCUAAUUCAGACCCAUCUGGGUUUUGGGUCAGGACCCUGGAAGAUUAAGGAAAGAAAUAAAUUGUCUCAUGGUCGCAUGUUUCCAGAUACAAAAGGAGGACCUGAGGGAUCUAAGGCUUAAGAGAAGCAGCCUGACAUGUCCUAGGUCAUAGAGCCGGUCAGUGGAAGGGGAGAGAUUCAAACUAGAACCUCAUGAACUCCCAUCCAUUACACACGGAAAUUUUGCCUGGAGAGCAGGCCCAGGCUGUUACUGGAGCAGUGGAAGAAGAGCUGCCAGGUCGCAGGAGGACAAGAGCAGUGCUUUCUCCAAAUCUUAACAGGAGUAAACAGCGUGAGGGAGAGCUAGUAUUCCUGUGGUAGAAGCUGAAGACAAAGUAAAAGUAAUUAAUUAAUGGGAAAAAUAAACAACUGGACUCAGCCAGAGAAAAAAGACAGUUAACACCCCAACACCCAAGGCAACCUAGAACAGUCUAUGUAAUCUAGCCCUCUGCUGUCAGCUCCAUCUACCAUCAGGUGCCCCAUUAUUCAUGGGGCUCCACCUUGUAUUCCAGUUGUUCCUCAAACAUUUUGUAUCUUUUCUCUCUGAGGGAUUCAGCUCUUGGUAUUUGCUUUGCUCUGAAAUCUCUUCCAUAGAUCUUCACGAUGGCUGCUUGUCUUAGGUCUUAGUUCAUUCAAAUAUCACUCUCUCAGAGAAACCUUUCCUGACCUCCACUAUAUACAUGGAGGGUAUCCAGAGUCAAUGAAGGUAUUGAACAAAUGGGCUGGAUAAAACUGAAAACAGGGUGCUCUGCUUGGUUUUUUAGAAAAAUGGAAAUAGAGGCCUCACACAUGGAGGUAACAUACCUGAGGUUAUCCAGUAGAUCUGGACUCGAGUCUACAUGUGCUGCUCUGCAGAGUUUGACACAGAGGGACAGAGUCUGCAAAUGGACCUCUUGCUAUUAACUACUGUGCACCUAUGCUUUGUUAUCAAUGAAAUGUGUGUAGCUUUUGUUUCCUGGCCUUGGGGAGUAUCCUUAAAUCUUUCAUCGUUUAGUUUCUUCAUCUGAGGUUAACAAUAUAUUUAUUUUAAAAAGCUAUAGAAACUGGGAAGAAACAUUUGCAAUUUAUAGCACAAAGAAUUAAUAACCAUAAUAUGUAAAGAGCUUCAAAAAACACAGAAGAAAAAGGCCAACGUAUCUAUGAAAAAUUGGUUGGAAAUAUGAGCAGAGAGUUCACAGAAAAAGAAAGGAAAAUGGCUCUUAAAUAUAUGAAAAGACACUCAACCUUACUUACAACAAAUACUUUAAAACUUCAUUGAGAUAGAAUUUUCUCUCCUGUCAGACUGCCAAGAAUCUAAAAGAUUUCUGUUUAUGUGUCUGUCUCCCCAACUAGACUGAUUGCUCCAGCAAAGGCAAGAACCAUGCCAUUUAAACUUUCUAUUCUUUAAGUCCUUGAUGCUGGUUGCGGACUAUUUUGAACUCUCUGCUUCUGGGUAUGUGGUAGGAUUGUACCUCCUGACACCCUGAGGACAUCUGGCUGGUUCUAGCCAACUAGUUCUGUGUGAGUGUGAUUGAGUGCGAUUUGUGCCAACCCUGGGUCAGAGAAGCUAACUGUCAGAGGGAGACCUUCCCUUGGCUGACCAGCACUGUAGAGCAGUGAGUCCUCUGUCAUGCUAGACCUCCAGUGGGAAUGAUGGAGAUGAAGAACAGUUUGCCAGCCAAUCCAUGCUGCAUGUUCAGCAUGACUGUGAAAUAAUCCUUCUUGGUUUUAAGUCACAACAUAUUUGUGUUGGUGAGGCUGUGGUGAAAUAGAUGCUUCCAUACGUUGCUAGAGUGAAUGUAAAAUGGUGCAAGUCUCAUGAAUGGGAAUUUGACAUAUCUAGUAAUAUUACAUAUGCAUUUUCCCUUUGAUCCAGUAAUCCAACUUCUAGGAAUCUAUCCUAAAAUAUGUUGUAAAAGUAUAAGAAGACUUUUAAACAUGAUUAUAUAUUGUGGCAUUGUUUAUAAUAGCAAAAGCUUGGAAAUUGGUUGACUAUCCCAAUGAAAGGUCCACUCAGUGGAAUAGUAUGCAGCUAUAAACAAGAAGAAGACCUCUGUAUUAGUUUGUUUUCGUGCUGCUCAUAAAGACAUACCCAAGACUGGGCAAUUUAUAAAAGUGGUAUAUAAUGGACUUACAGUUCCACGUGGCUAGGGAAACCUCACCAUCAUGGUGGAAGGUGAAAGGCACAUCUCACAUGGCAGCAGACAAGAGAAGAGAGCUUGUGUGCAGGGAAACUGCCCCUUUUAAAACCAUCAGAUCUCAUGAGACUCAUUUGCUAUCACAAGAACAGCAUGGGAAACACUCGCUGCCAUACUUCAAUCACCUCCUACGACAUGUGGGAAUUAUGGGAGUUACAAUUCAAUAUGAGAUUUGGGUGGGGCACAGGCAAACCAUCUCCACCUCUAUAUAUUACCAUGAAGUGAUGACCCCAAUAACAUGUUUAGUGAGAGAAUUUAUGGCCCUUGUGUAUGUUUUUUUUUCUUUAUCUGCAUUGAACAAACCUUACAUUUACAGUUAGAAAAAUCAUAUUUUUUUUAUCUUGAAUUACCCAGAAUCCCAUGAACGUCUUUUUCCGGAAAGUUUCUCAGUUGAGAACUUGUGAAAUCCAAUUCAUUUAUAUGUUAAGAUUUGUGCUAUGGGAUGUUGAUGGCCUGGUGAAAAUGACCCAGUCUGGCAUGAUGCUUGCCUCUAUUUGAAAGGUGUAGGUUCAGAAAGGGGAGUGCUUCAGAGGCUGCCACAUCCCUCUGAAAUAAUCUGCAGGUUGAACCUGAUGCCAUUAGGCUGUUAGGCUGCCUAGGGGAUGGUUUCUGGCUGGAUUAACCAGAUUUGCCAUUGGCAGGUGGGAGAGCUGCACCACCAGAAUUAGGUUUGCUACUCCAUUAAGCUUUUGACCACGUAAUUUAAACCAUAUUAUUAUUUCCCUAAUAGGCAAUACAUUUGCAUUUUAAAAUGCGAAGAGUAUGAAAGGAUAGGCAGUGAAAUGUCUUUUUAUCAUCUGUUUCCCCAGGCAUGCAGUUUCCCUCUCAAAUGCAACUAAUCUGAUAGGAGCAUGUGGAAAGAAAGAGGAUGGAAGACAAUAAGGCCAAUAUUGGGAAGGUUACAUUUGAGGAGAGCUGGGGUUCAAACAUUCUAGGGCACUGGGAGACAGCAUAAAAUUCAUCCUGUCUUGAUUUUAGAUGAUUCGUGUGUGUGUAAAAAAAGGGAGGAGACCUUUUAUAUAGUAGCAGCUGGCUACCCACAUUGUGUCACACCCCGCUUUUGUGUCACUUAAUAUCUCUUGGUAAUUGUUCCAUAUCAGUGCCCAAAAACUUCCUCAUUCUUUUUUUUUUUUUGCAACUGUUCAGUUUUCUAUGUAUAGUUACAUCAUAUUAUAUUUAACCCAUUCUUUACUAGUGUCUGUUCCCAUUUGUUUUUCCAUUUUGAGCACCAGACUUUAAAACUCAUUCAUCUAGGACACACAAAGGAUUUUGUUUCCUAUGAGGAGCUCCGUGGCUCCCCGACUUGCUCAACUGUUUUAAACCCCCACCCCACAUGGAAUAAGCACACUUCACCCUUCUCUCGCAACAAUUAAGUCAACUUAUCUUUGAAUAAGUAGCUGGGGGUGGGGAGGACACACCCCUGGAGUGUGGGUUUAGGUUUGCUUGAUUGGGGCGUGUACCUGGGUGGGUGGAGCAGGAUGAAGAGCUCUUCAUUAGUGUUUCUCAUGUUUGAAGUCAGAUCUUCUUCCCUAGCUGAGGCCAGAGUCUUCAAGUUUCUAACAGGAGCUUCUAGAGUCACUGAAUCUUUCAGAGAACAGGUACAAAAACUCUCAGCUGGUGUAAGAGCAGAGGAAGCGCCUUUACAAGGGGCUGCUUGGAAAUAGGGGCAAGCUACUAAAUUAGUGUGCAAACGCAGAAAAGGGCCCAGGGUAUUUUUAAACCUCUUACAAAUAGGAGCAAGCCCAAAUUUAACAUUGGCUGGCUUUUUAAUGUGGCUUUCUUUUUCACCCACCUUCCCUUCAAAGGAGUGCUUUUUUCUUCUUUCUGCUGAAAUACAAGGGCUUAGGGAGCAACUACUCAGUUCCAACAAACAGGGCAAGUUAACACUUGUAAGAGCAACACCCAAGUAGCAAAGGAAGCCGAGUUAAAAUAAAACCACACCUCCUUCCCCUCAGGGUGACAAAGAUAACCAAACCCAGUCUGGCCUCUUUGCUCCAGCAACAAGCAGGCUGAAGCAAAGGGCAACUGGGCAGGAAGGAGGAGGCGGAACUUGGGGUCAUCCAUACCUGCCCAAUUCCCUUGCUCCCCUCUGCUCCUGCCUCUCCAAUUCCCAUCUCCACCCAGAGCUGGUCUAAUGCAGAAAAGUGAGGAGAACUCGCUGUACCCAUUUCUCUUUCUAAAUAUCUCUUUAGCCAAUUUAAACCUUUGUUCUUUCUUCCCCCAAAACAGUUCUCAGAAGGAGUUUGGUACUAUAGAAUCAUCUAAACUAGAGAUAAUUAAUAAUCUUUAAUGAAUUGUUCCUUCUAGAAAUAUUCUUAUCCUUAAGCCAAAUAAAUGAUUGUAAAGGUCACAGGGCACUUCAGGCAUCAGUGAUUUCACUAGUGGGAGGUAGUGUCGGUAGAACUCUAGUAUGCUCUGGACACUAAAAUCAUAUCCUAUGAUCGGUUAUCCCACAUAUGCAAAACCACAACGGUCUACACCUGUAAACACACUUAAAACACUCUUUCACUGUUAAACAACCUACAUUUCUACACUCCUUAGCAGAAUAGCUUGAGUGAAACCUGAAUUUACAUGCAGUUAUCAAGGCCAGCAGUGUAGAGCAUCGCUCACUGCAAUCUAGGACAGCUCUGGUCCCCAAGCCCAGAGAUUUAGGUAGUAUAUGGUCAGACCAUUGAGCUGAGUGCAAAAGCUUGGUGAUACCUAUCGACAUACAAAUAAUCAUCCAUUAUGUUCAUUUAUUUAUUUAUAUUCACAAUUUUAUUUGGCUUGAAGAUUGGUGCUGCCUAUCUGGGUCUGAAUCUGUAUCUAGAUUCAGAGCCUGAUCUGUGUCAGCCUCUGUAUUCUGGAAGCCCCCAGUUUGGGAAAGAGACCAUGCAAGGUGUGCUCAGGCCCUGCCCUGGCUGAUUAGUUCCUGCAAGAAAAGCUUCCCUGACUUUAAUCCCCAGGACUAAUUAACUUCAAGAGUUGGGAUGAGAAGGCACUCAAACCGUAAAUGUAUGCAAAGCAGCAGCAAGCAGAUUAGAAGAACCCAGCAGUUUAAAAGUAAGUCAGCCUGCAGAACCUCUCGUGCAUCUUCCUCUGCCCUUGUCUGGAAGCCACGUUUCUGCAGCCUGGCUCUCUGUAGCUGUCAAAACCCCAAACUUAAAGCUAUUGGCUCAGUGAUUAGACUCUGGGUUUUGGGGUCAGGAAGUUAGCUUGGGGAGGUUGGCGGUGGGGGGUAAAUUUUUCUGCGGUUGUCUGAGCAACUGUGGAAGAAUUGUUUGAUCUUUGCAGGAUUUGAAAAUACCUUGCUGCACCGUCAGUGGCCUUUGGUAGGCUAUAGGCCACGGCUGGGGAAUGUUUUACUUGCCUUUUAAGAAUAGGACACUGGGUCAGCUAUUUAACAUUCAGAGGGGCAGCACCAAGGGACAGAUAAAUGUCUGAUGCAAAGAAGGGUAAUGAAAGGAGUCUAGGCCUUCAUCAUGCCAGCUCCUCCCCGGGCUCUGGAAGAUCCUGAGAGUUUCUUCUAGUGUUCAGGCUUUAAAUCAUCCAAGAUCUUUUAAGCUCUGACUGUGAAAAGCUCCAGGGGAAAUCAAUGGACAGACCCUAGAGCGGUGCCACUGAAUCCCAUUGUCCAAAGGAAAGAUUUUACUAACCAGCCAUUCUAACAGGGGAAACUAUGGCCAGUAGAAACAUCUUCUCAGAGAUCACUCAAGAAAAGCAAUAGAUGAAGCCAAGUCUCUGCUUGGGAGGUGAGAAUAAGUGCAUCCUUUCCCUAAAACCCAGUGGUGUAGGCACUCUUCCCAAUGCAUCAUCCUUCUUAUGGCCCCUACAAUAUAUACAGAGAUCUUUAGUAAUUUCUUUUUUUUGCGGGGGAGGUGUAUUAAUAAUGGCCAAUCAAUAUUUCAUUUAAACCUAUGAGUAGGUGUGAUGUGGUAUGGACAAGAAUGUGUAUUUAAAGUGGAGACCUCUAUAAAUAUUUAUUAAGUUUACUUGUUCUGGAUCUGAGUUCGAGUCCUGGAUAUCCUUAUUAAUUUUCUGUCUCAUUGAGUCUAAGUCUCUAUGUAUCUGGGUGUUAGGAUCGUUAGCUCUUAUUGUUGCAUCGAUCCUUUUACCACUAUAUCUUUUUUGCUUUAAAAUCUAUUUUAUCCGAUACGAGAAUUGCAACUCCUGCUUUUUAUUUAUUUAUUUAUUUUUGCUCUCCAUUUGGUUGGUAAAUCUUUCUCCAUCCCUCUGUUUUGAGUCUUUAUGUAUCCUUGCAUGUGAAAUGGGUCUGGAUAUAGCAUACAGUUGGGUUUUGGCUGUAUCUUUUGAUUGCAGGAUUUAGUCGAUUUAAAUUUAGGUUUAUUGCCAUUUGAUGUUAACUGGCUGUUUUAUCCAUUCAUUGAUGUAAAUUCUUUAUGUUGAUGCUCUUUACUUUUUGGUAUAUUUUUAGAAAGGCUAAUACUGGUUGUUUCUUUCUAUGUGUAAUGCUUCUUUCAGAAGCUCUUAUAAAGCAGGCCUGGUGGUAAUAAAAUCUCUGAAUACUUGCUUGUUCAUAAAAGAUUUUAUUUUUCCUUCAGUUGUGAAGCUUAGUUUGGCUGGAUAUGAAAUUCUGGGCUGAAAGUUCUGUUCUUUAAGGAUGUUGAAUAUUGGCCCCCACUCUUCUGGCUUGUAGAGUUUCUGCUGAGAGAUCUGCUGUAAGUCUGAUAGGCUUCCCUUUGUGGGUAACCUGACCUUUCUCUCUGGCUGCCCUUAGUAUUUUCUCCUUUGUUUCAACCCUCGUGAAUCUAACGAUAAUGUGCCUUGGGGUUGCUCUUCUUGAGGAAUAUCUUUGUGGUGUUCUCUGUAUUACCUGGGGUUGAAUAUUGUCCUGCUUUGCUAGUUUAGGAAAAUUUUCCUGAAUAAUAUCCUGAAGAGUAUUUUCCAGCCUGGAUUCAUUCUCUCCAUCACAUUCAGGUAUACCUAUCAAACAUAAAUUAGGUCUUUUCACAUAGUCCCACAUUUCUUGGAGACUUUGCUCAUUCCUUUUUAUCCUUUUUUCUCUAAUCUUGUCUUCUCGUUUUAUUUCAUUAAGUUGGUCUUCGACCUCUGAUAUCCUUUCUUCUGCUUGAUCAAUUUGAGUGUUUAAGCCUGUGCAUACUUCUCGGAGUUCCCAUAUCGUAUUCUUCAGUUCCAUUAAUUCACUUAUAUUCCUCUCUAAAUUGUCUAUUCUCAUUAGGAUUUCGUCAAACCUUUUUUCAAAGUUCUUAGUUUCUUUACAUUGGGCUGCAACAUGUUCUUUUAACUCACAGAAGUUUCUUAUUAUCCAUCUUCUGAAGCCUGAUUCUGUUAAUGGGAUGCGCUGGUUCUCUAUCAAGCCUUGUUCCCUUGUUGAUGAGGAAUUGUGAUCCUCUUUAGAGGGAGAGGCAUUCUGAUUUUGAGUAUUCUCAGCCUUUUUAUGCUGGUUUCUUCCCAUCAUUGUGAAUUUAUCCACCUGUCGUCUUUGUAAUUAACAACUUUCAAAUUAGGUCUCUGAGUGGACGUCCAAGUUGUUAAUUCCCAGGGCCGAAAUAUGAGCCACCCACUGCGCCGACCAAAACAGUGGCGUUAAGACUGAUGGUGCUUUUCUGCCUGGGGAAUCUCCAGUCUGGCUUCCUUCUUGAGUCUGUAAUAGGCAACUCUGCCUUCCCAGAGCUCCAAAUGUCGGUCAGAAGGGGAACCAGUUCCAUUUACUCUGCACCAAGAGCUGCCGUGCCGAGGUGCCGGCAAAACUGCUGCGCCGGCCACAAGAGUCAUGCUGGUGACUGGUGGGGCUCUUCCACUGGGAAUCUUCUGCUCUGUGAGUGACAAAAAUUUGUCUGAAAGUGUGGCGUCCUCUCAUUCUGUGCGCUUUCACUGAGAGCUACAAUCCUGAGAUGUUAGUGAUCAGCCAUCUUGGAUCAGUAAUUUCUUUGUUAAAUGAAAACAUAAUGGAGAUGUUUCAGAGUGAUGGGUCAGCAUGCAAACUCAAUGAUGUCCAAGAAGGACUCUUCAGUGCUUUCAAGAGGACUGAGACACAGGGAAGCAGGAAAACAGGCUACAACAACCCAAGGGGGAAAUCAGAGAAGGCCUGACAUCAGGACUGAGAAAGCUGGCUUCAGAGAGGAGAAUGGCACAGUAGGAUUCCCUAGGGGAGAGCUCCUCAGGACUUAGGGAAGCAGGGGAAACACUUCUUUCAAUCUUUAGUGAAUUAGGGAUUUCUAGAGCUAGAAAGGGGAAACUCAGAGUGGGCACAAUGGCUCAUGCCUAUAAUCCCAGCACUUUGGGAGGCUGAGGCAGAUGGAUCAUUUGAGGUCAGAAGUUCGAGACCAGCCUGGCCAACAUGGUAAAACCCCAUCUCUACUAAAUAUACAAAAAUUAGCCAGGCAUGGUGGUGUGGGCCUGUAAUCCCAGCUACUUUAGAGGCUGAGGCAGGAGAAUCACUUCAAUCGGGAGGUGGAGGUUGCAGUGAGCCAAGAUCACACCACUGUACUCCAGCCUGGGUGACAGAGACUCAUUCUCAAAAAAAAAAAAAAAAAAAGAGAACACUCACACCUCUAGAAACUAAAGGAAUUUGACAGCAUAGUUUUACAUAGGACUGGAAAAUAGAAGCAGGACUUGAAUGAGAAUUUUCAAUUCUGAGGAUUAGGUUCUAGACUGGUAUAAUUCAACAGAACUAUUAAGGCCCAGCAUGGUGGCUCACACCUGUAAUCCCAGCACUUUCGGAAGCCAAGGCGUGUGGAUUACCUGAAGUCAGGAGUUCGAGACCAGCCUGGCCAACAUUGUGGAACCCCAUCUCUACUACAACUACAAAAUUAGCUGGGUGUGGUGGCACAUGCCUGUAAUCCCAUCUACUCAGGAGGCUGAGGCAGGAGAAUGGCUUGAACCUGGGAGGAAGAGGAGGUUACAGUGAACUGAGAUCAUGCCACUGCACUCCAGCUUGGGUAGCAAGAGCAAAACUCUGUCUCACACACACACAAAAAAUUUAAUUAUAAAUUAGAAAUAUUAAUAGAAUGGCAGCACACAUAUACAAGUUUACAUUUUCUAAUAGCCA